rnacentral:rRNA from 1 species
UACGUAGGGUGCAAGCGUUGUCCGGAAUUAUUGGGCGUAAAGAGCUCGUAGGCGGUCUGUCGCGUCGGAUGUGAAAAUCCAGGGCUUAACCCUGGACCUGCAUUCGAUACGGGCAGACUAGAGUUCGGUAGGGGAGGACUGGAAUUCCGUCGGUGGUAGCUGGUGGAAAAUGCGCAGAUAUCAGGAGGAACACCGGUGGCGAAGGCGGGUCUCUGGGCCGAUAACUGACGCUGAGGAGCGAAAGCGUGGGGAGCGAACAGGAUUAGAACUCCGAGUC